rnacentral:rRNA from 1 species
GUCUACGGCCAUACCACCCUGAAUGCACCCGAUCUUCUCUGAUCUCAGAAGCUAAGCAGGGUCGGGCCUGGUUAGCACUUAGAUGGAAGAAUAUUUUGUCAGGUUAAAUGCCCAGCUGAGAAUGAAUUACCAAAGUCA